GAAUGAAUUUUAUCUCUCGCUGAAUCUGUAAAAACAAGUCCCGGAUGCUUCCCGUUGCCUCUUUCUGCCAUUGAACUGUAUUCAUCAAAAUUGAGCUUAUAAAUAGCAUCUCCAAACACAUUGAGCUGUCCGGCAGGUGAAGCACACCCAGACAAAAAUGUCAGGACACACUUUGACCUUUUUCCCCGUUUCCUGUUAACGGGCCAUGAGGGGAAAAAAAUGCAGGGUGAGGUCCCGAUGUUUUUAUUGAGGGAACUAAAAUCUGACUCAGUCCGAGUGAAAAUAGGCCUCGGGUCGUGGUAACUUGCACAAUGUUUGACUGGAACAUUUUGAGUUUGUUUCAAAAGAGCAGCACAAGAAGGAAAUGGAAAUGAUGAAUCGGUUUCAAACGGCGCCAUGGGAAUUUGCUGUGCCCUGCACCUCUGACUCAUGGCACCGCAUUUGGGUGUUUGGGAGCGGGUAUAAAACCAAACGCAGAACACAAGAGAGAGGCUGGGAAUGCUCAGUAGCCGAAAUCCGAUGACACCAAAUGUCAGACAGUCAGGAAGAGAGCCGAGGUCCAGGGAGAGAGUUUUGCUGUCUUUGGGGAUUCCCAACUAGAGUGCUGCCUUGAGAUUAAGCAUGUUUGAGGUAUCAGUGGCUGAUUUCAGCACACUCCAGGAGGACCCGAUACUUCGAAAUGAGGAAACCAGAGACCAGCCUGGCGUCGUUGGUACUCGGCAAUCCCUUACAUGAGAUCCAAAUCAUCUUUCCCCAUUGAAAUGAAAGGAAAUACCAUUCAAUCCGUUCUAUUCAACCCCUAAAUUUACAACUUACGUUUUUGUAAUGUCUUUUUCAUUUAAAAAAAAAACACUCU